GGACUACCCGGGUAUCUAAUCCUGUUUGCUCCCCACGCUUUCGUGCCUCAGCGUCAGGUGUGGACCAAGAAGCUGCCUUCGCCAUUGGUGUUCCUCUCGAGAUCUACGCAUUUUACCGCUACUCCGAGAAUUCCACUUCUCUCUUCCACCCUCUAGCACAUCAGUAUCUACCGCAGACCCUCGGUUAGGCCGAGGAAUUUAACAGUUGACUUAAUAUGCCGCCUACGCACCCUUUACGCCCAAUAAUUCCGAAUAACGCUUGCACCACUCGUAUUACCGCGGCGGCUGGCAC
rnacentral:rRNA from 1 species